ACAUUUUCAGAAUAUGGUACUUUAUAUGUUUUUAACUCAUUUACAAAAUUUAAUUUAUUACCUUAUCAUGAAAAAAAAUUUAAAUUACUUUGUUCAGAUAUUUUACACAAAUUACAUUAUUUUAAUCUUAAAAAUAUUUGUUUAAUUUGUAACUAUGCUUCUUCUUUAUAUAAUUAUAACAUGAAAUACAUAACUAACUUUAUUCAAGAGGUAUGUCGUUUUAUUAUAGAACAAAAAGACAUAACUACUGACAAUCUUUCUAAACCUGAUAAAUCUAUUACUUCUCCUAUUACUACCUCAACCACUACAACAAUUUCGACUACAACAAUUUCGACUACAACAAUUCCGACUAUAACAACUUCGACUAUGACAACUUUGACUAGUAGUAAAAAUACAGCCGUUAAACCAAACGUGAACAUACCAAUUAAAACAAUACGUUCUGAACAAUGGACACCCGAAUCGAUCCAUUACAUCACAAAUGCAUGUGCCAGAGUUAACUACCUAAACAAAGAAUUAUUUUUAUAUUUAAAAAAUAUUAUUGAAAAAAGGGUUACUUAUUUUACAUUGGACCAAUUAGUUUCUUUAAUUAAUGCAUAUAGUAAAUUUAAAAAUGCAGAAGAAUCGAACUUUUUAUCAUUAUUUGUAUUACUCCCUAACGAAAUUAUAAAAAAAUCAUAUAUGUUAAAACCAAGACAUUUAAGUGUUUUGGCUAACGCAUAUAAUAAUGCUUGUGUAUUACAUGAAUAUCUUUUUCAUGUUAUAACAGAAAAUAGUAUAUCACACAUCAGUUUAUUUGAACCAAAACAAAUAGUUAUGCUUAUUCAUUCAUAUGUAAAUAUAGGAUUGUCACAGAAUACUCUACUUAAUCAUUUAUGGGACAUUUCAUUAACAUACAUGCAUUCUUAUUCAAUACAAGAGCUUUCUAUGUUACUACAAGCAUAUACAAAAGGUUCAUAUAAUAUAGAUAAUUUUUUUGAUACACUUACCGAAAAAAUAUAUUAUUUUUUUACUACAACUUAUGAUUUUUUAAAUAAAAAUUAUGAUCUUUUAAAUAAAAAUAAUGACAAUAAAAAUUAUACGAACGUAAGUAAUACGAACGUAAGUAAUACGAACGAAAGUAAUACGAACGAAAGUAAUACGAACGAAAGUAAUACGAACGAAAGUAAUACGAACGAAACGUAUACGUACGAAACAUAUACAAAUGUUAUACACCAAAUCGAACAAAAAAGUGAUUUUUUUUUGGAAAAUAAAACCACACCAGAAUUAUUAUUACAUAAAAAUAUAUCUGAAUACAAACCAAAUAAAAAUAAAUCAAACUCUAUGCCUAGUGAAAAUACAUUUGAUUAUGCUUUACUUUUCUAUUUAAUAAUGCAUCAAUAUAAUCACAUUAAUUAUUCAAAUAACAUGUUAAUGAAUCAGCAAAAAUAUUUACAUUAUAAUAUAAACUUAAAUAAAAAUAUGGAAAAUAAAACUUG
rnacentral:lncRNA from 1 species